UACAGAGGUCUCAAGCGUUGUUCGGAUUCAUUGGGCGUAAAGGGUGCGUAGGCGGCGGGGCAAGUCGGAUGUGAAAUCUCAGGGCUCAACCCUGAAACUGCAUUCGAUACUGCCUUGCUCGAGGACUGGAGAGGAGAUUGGAAUUCACGGUGUAGCAGUGAAAUGCGUAGAUAUCGUGAGGAAGACCAGUGGCGAAGGCGGAUCUCUGGACAGUUCCUGACGCUGAGGAACGAAGGCCAGGGGAGCAAACGGG
rnacentral:rRNA from 1 species